GAUGAACGCUGGCGGCGUGCCUAAUACAUGCAAGUCGAGCGAACAGACGAGGAGCUUGCUCCUCUGACGUUAGCGGCGGACGGGUGAGUAACACGUGGAUAACCUACCUAUAAGACUGGGAUAACUUCGGGAAACCGGAGCUAAUACCGGAUAAUAUAUUGAACCGCAUGGUUCAAUAGUGAAAGACGGUUUUGCUGUCACUUAUAGAUGGAUCCGCGCCGCAUUAGCUAGUUGGUAAGGUAACGGCUUACCAAGGCAACGAUGCGUAGCCGACCGGAGAGGGUGAUCGGCCACACUGGAACUGAGACACGGUCCAGACUCCUACGGGAGGCAGCAGUAGGGAAUCGUCCGCAAUGGGCGAAAGCCUGACGGAGCAACGCCGCGUGAGUGAUGAAGGUCUUCGGAUCGUAAAACUCUGUUAUUAGGGAAGAACAAAUGUGUAAGUAACUAUGCACGUCUUGACGGUACCUAAUCAGAAAGCCACGGCUAACUACGUG
rnacentral:rRNA from 1 species